UUGGUCAUUUAGAGGAAGUAAAAGUCGUAACAAGGUCUCCGUAGGUGAACCUGCGGAGGGAUCAUUACAAGUUGACCCCGGCCCCCGGGCCGGGAUGUUCACAACCCUUUGUUGUCCGACUCUGUUGCCUCCGGGGCGACCCUGCCUCCGGGCGGGGGCCCCGGGUGGACACUUCAAAACUCUUGCGUAACUUUGCAGUCUGAGUAAAUUUAAUUAAUAAAUUAAAACUUUCAACAACGGAUCUCUUGGUUCUGGCAUCGAUGAAGAACGCAGCGAAAUGCGAUACGUAGUGUGAAUUGCAGAAUUCAGUGAAUCAUCGAAUCUUUGAACGCACAUUGCGCCCUUUGGUAUUCCAAAGGGCAUGCCUGUUCGAGCGUCAUUUGUACCCUCAAGCUCGGCUUGGUGUUGGGACUCGCGGUAACCCGCGUUCCCCAAAUCGAUUGGCGGUCACGUCGAGCUUCCAUAGCGUAGUAAUCAUACACCUCGUUACUGGUAAUCGUCGCGGCCACGCCGUUAAACCCCAACUUCUGAAUGUUGACCUCGGAUCAGGUAGGAAUACCCGCUGAACUUAAGCAUAUCAAUAAG
rnacentral:rRNA from 1 species